GACGAACGCUGGCGGCGUGCCUAAUACAUGCAAGUCGAACGCAGUGGGGACGGGUGAGUAACACGUGGGUAACCUCCCAUCAGAGGGGAUAACACUUGGAAACAGGUGCUAAACCGAUACUGAUGGAUGGACCCGCGGUGCAUUAGCUAGUUGGUGGGGUAACGGCGCACCAAGGCCACGAUGCAACGCUGCCCUGCGAGGUUGUGCGGCCACACGGGGACUGAGACACGGCCCAGUCUCCUACGGGAGGCAGCAGUAGUGAAUCUUCGGCAAUGGACGAAAGUCUGACCGAGCAACGCCGCGAGAGUGAAGAAGGUUUUCGGAUCGUAAAACUCUGUUGUUAGAGAAGCGGUAUCUAACCAGAAAGCCACGGCUAACUACGUGCCAGCAGCCGCGGUAAUUC
rnacentral:rRNA from 1 species